UACGGGGGGGGCAAGCGUUGUUCGGAUUUACUGGGCGUAAAGGGCGCGUAGGCGGCCCGCCAAGUCACUUGUGAAAUCUCCGGGCUUAACCCGGAGCGGCCAAGUGAUACUGACGGGCUGGAGUGCGGAAGGGGCCACCGGAAUUCUCGGUGUAGCGGUGAAAUGCGUAGAUAUCGAGAGGAACACCUGCGGCGAAGGCGGGUGGCUGGGCCGACACUGACGCUGAGGCGCGAAAGCCAGGGGGAGCGAACGGG
rnacentral:rRNA from 1 species